rfam:Lupinus angustifolius cultivar Tanjil chromosome LG01, whole genome shotgun sequence.
AGCUGCAUUACAGGGCAAGAUUCUUCAUUGGCAGCUAGCUCCACACUAUGUUAAAUGCAUCUCAGCCACAUUCAUGCAAUAAUUCCAGUGUGCAAUCUGCCAAAGGAGAUUUGCCCAGUGAUUUUUUG